AUGAGGAGCUUGCUCUUCAAAUCGAGUGGCGAACGGGUGAGUAACGCGUGAGGGACCUGCCUCAAAGGGGGGGACAACAGUUGGAAACGACUGCUAAUACCGCAUAAGCCCACGGCUCGGCAUCGAGCAGGGGGAAAAGGAGCAAUCCGCUUUGAGAUGGCCUCGCGUCCGAUUAGCUAGUUGGUGAGGUAAUGGCCCACCAAGGCGACGAUCGGUAGCCGGCUUGAGAGAGUGAACGGCCACAUUGGAACUGAGACACGGUCCAAACUCC
rnacentral:rRNA from 1 species